ACAUAUAGUAGGGGGUUACUGAAUAGAAAGGAGAUUAUAUCUAUAUGGUAUCAACUGGAGUUUGGUGACUGUCGGAUUACAUGCCGCACAUACCGGAUCCAAGUUGUAACCGAAUUAGGAUAGAUCUUAGUCUUAUCAGAUUAGGACUCUAUCUAUAAGCCCUAUCCCCCACUAUAUAAGAGGGACAGGGGCACCCCUU
rnacentral:lncRNA from 1 species